rnacentral:lncRNA from 10 species
CAUCAAGAAUGAGGUUCUUCCUGUCUCUCUGUUUUCCUAUCUCUGCUCUACCAUCUACAGUGUGGGCCUCAUUCUAAGUCUGACUUCCCUAAUGCUCAGAAGAUGGCUAUGUUGAGUCCACAAACUUUUGAAUUCAGAAACAAGAUUGAGUUGAUUUCAGAAGCUCUCCCAGAAGAUCAAGAAAGAACUUUCCAGGAUCUCCAGGAACCUGAAUUGAGUCAUACGCCAAAGUGAGUUUCAUGCUCUUUGGCAAAACAAUCAUUGGCAGGAUAGAUGAAAGUAGCUUAGAAGUGACCAAUAUGUCAAGGUCCCAUGAGAAGACUGAAAAAAAGAGAAGAAAGAGGAAAGAAAAGAAUGACAAGAAAGAGAAAGAAAGAAACCAAUAUGCUCUUUGUUCUUUGCUUUUGCUUCCUCAAGCUUUUCUCUGUCUACAAAGCCAACCUCUCCUGCUCAGCUCAUCAGAACAUUCACUCCACUUUCUGGAAUGAAGUGUUGCCUGAUCCUAGAGUCGCAAUAAAGCCAACUGAGAUCUUAAAACUAAAUUCGUUGUAAUUUUGUCCUUUGCCAAGGGGGGAAAAACAACAAAAACUUCCC